GGAAUUUUUAAAGCUGUCCAUGUGAUUCCACUCUUCAGUCCCAGCUCAGAAUUCUGCUCCAAGAUCUCUGCAGACCUUGGGAAGAAAGGCUGAAGGAAGCCUUGCCCAGCAUUGUGCUCUGGGGGUCCAGUGACCGGGCAGCACGUCUGGGGGCUCACCUCCAUCCCCCCUCACCUAACAACACUCUGUGCCGGGGUGCCUGGCCCACAUCUACAAAUGGGUCCACAGAGCAUGCCCCAGGAAACAGCAGUUGCUUCAGCUUGGGUGCUGAGUGAAGAGUCCUGUGAAGCCAACUGGAAGUCUCUCUAUAGCCUGGAGCAGAACUGCAGCUCACCCAUCUGCCCUCAUGCACGUGACCAAGAGGUGAUGCUGAAGCUGCAGCUCUGGAGACCUCACUCGGAGAACCACCGCCCUACAGGAAGCAAAGCCCAGAGAAUUCUUCCUGCUCUGAUAACCUGGCGAUUAAAUAGGAUCCACCGAAUGUGGCAUUUGACUUGCCAUUUCUUACGAAGAAAUUGGCUGUGACAUGGGGGCAGUUUGUGUUUCUGGAGGAACUAGUCUCUGACUGAAGCAUUAAGAGGACCUGGACAAAGCCUGAGGCAGAAAGCCUCUUGGUAAGCUAAAGCACAUGUGUAU
rnacentral:lncRNA from 1 species